rnacentral:tRNA from 2 species
GCCUGAGUGGCUCAGUCGGUUAAGCGUCUGACUUGGGCUCAGGUCAUGAUCUUACAGUCUGUGGGUUCGAGCCCCGCCUCAGGCU